UACGGGGGGGGUGCAAAGCGUUUGUCCCGGAUUUUACUGGGGCGUAAAGGGCGCGUAGGCGGCUUGAUCAGUCGGGACUUUUUAAGAGCGGGGGCUCAACCCCCGUGGUGGGUUCGGGACGGUCGAGCUGGGGGCGCGGUCGAGGGGGGAUGGAAUGCCGGGUGUAGUGGUGAAAUGCGUAGAUAUCCGGCGGAACACCGGUGGUGAAGGCGAUUCCCUGGACCGAGGCCGACGCUGAGGCGCGAGAGCGUGGGGGAGCGAACCGG
rnacentral:rRNA from 1 species